UACGAAGGGUGCAAACGUUGCUCGGAAUCACUGGGCGUAAAGGGUGCGUAGGCGGGUCUUUAAGUCAGGGGGGAAAUCCUGGAGCUCAACUCCAGAACUGCCUUUGAUACUGAGGAUCUUGAGUUCGGGAGAGGUGAGUGGAACUGCGAGUGUAGAGGUGAAAUUCGUAGAUAUUCGCAAGAACACCAGUGGCGAAGGCGGCUCACUGGCCCGAUACUGACGCUGAGGCACGAAAGCGUGGGGAGCAAACAGG
rnacentral:rRNA from 1 species